UCUCUGUACCUAGCUAGGUUGUAACACCCCCUUCUCGAAAAGGAAAGGGAGGUCACGUGCAAAGUACAACAAACCUCAAAAUAAAUAAACAGAGCACUAACAACCUCAAAAUAUUAAUAGUAGUGAUUCAUUAAUAAAGUAAUAAGUACAAUUCUCCAAACUAAGUCAAAAUAAUCAAAACUUAAAAUUCGAAUCAACCUAAAUGGUCAAAGGCAAAAAUCUCAUCACACUAGCCCUGAAUCACCUCUGCAAACCUGCCGGAAGAAAAACACAGCAUGAGCCAAUUGCCCAGUACGGAUACAGAUAUACAAAAGAUAUACAACUGAUAUACGAAAAUAACUGAGACAAAAUACUGAACAAAGCCUCAAGUGCAAAUACGAACGAAAAUAUAAUAUCCAAAGAUUUGAAUGGAAUAUAUCUGAAUCAACGUAAUGAAUAUAUCUGAAUCAACGUAAUUGACGAAACCAAUAAAAGAAUAAAGAAAUAACGAACUGAAGUAACUAACUCAAUGACUUGAACUGAACAGAAACCAACAAAACUAAUCCAAUAAAAUAAUAGGCUGAAACAAAUGGCUGGAGUUAUUUUAUACCGAAUGAGCUCAGAAAUACACAUUGCCACACAGGCAAGUCAAAAUAAUGCCACACAGGCAACCAAAAUAAUGCCACACAGGCAAAUCACACAUUGGACCGCGAAUCCAAAUGUAUGCAAAUCGGAUAGGUGUGUUUGGCACAACAUCACAAAUCCGCAGAACAGAAAACUAGGGUUAACCCAUACGCCUCCCACAACAAAACACCAAAUGGCCCACUUCCUCCGGAGCCCAAAAUGGAGACGCCGUGGACUAAUCACACCGCCACGGAAAGUGUCACGUCUCUCGUGCCAAGACGACGUGCCUGUGGUACCCCCACAGGUGGUUAUAACUCAGGUAUACUCUACGGUAUAUUCUAACAAAAAUAUCAUGUCACAACACAUGCGACAUAAUACCAACAAAAGGGUUCUAUAUGUACAUGUUGAACCGAAUCAAAUUAUAGUCACAAGGUUUCAAAAGGAAGGUAGCAACAUGUACCGCUCUACAAUUAUCAAAAUAAAUAAUACUAAACAUGAUAACCUAAUUCAAAGAGUACAAAUACGAGUCAUACGUAUCAACUCUAAAAUGAAACUAAUAUAUUUAUUUCACAAGAAACAAUUAUGUGAAAUCAUAAUAGAAUUCGAAAUAAGGAAACAAACGAACAAAUCAAAUUUAACAAAGGUAUCGCUGAAAGAGUACGGAAUCCGUACCUGAUACUUCCAAACCAUUUAUAGCACACUCCACAAAAUCUUACCCUCAAAUGCCAACGAUAUCAAAUACGAAACGUUAUUCAUCACCUAAACAUAUUCACCUCAAAUUAAAUAUAAUCCAAUUCAAUAAUUCCAAAAUAAUUCAUAAUCUAUUUAAUAUGCCUUUAAUCAUCGCCUUAUAUCAAUUAUUAAUACUCCAAAAUUUAUAUUCCAAAUAUAACUCUUUAAGUUCCUUCCGUCCGAACUAAUUACACAAAUUAAUAAUACUAAAUGUAAGUACAUUUAUAAAAAUAUGAACACUUCUAUUUGGUACGACUAUAAAAUAUAAUUACUUAUAAUAUUAAGAUUUAAUUCAUUCCAUAUAAUCUUACAUAUUUAUUUGUAUAACAUCUCUUGCAAAUUAUGCAAGUUUUCGUAAACUUUAAUUACUACUGCUAUAUAUAUAUUUUUAUUUAAAAAAAUCAUCAAUUUAUUAUUUUAGGAUCUCCAAAAUCAAUCACAGACUACUCCCUCCGUUCAAUCUGAUUGGAAUAAAGUGAUAAUAAUAAUAAGUACAUCCGUAUAAGUAUUACAUUAAUAAAUAAACUCUCCCAUCUUUAAAGAUCGCUCUUAGUUCUUGAAUUACAAAAGUACUUGCUCAUGAUGAAAAAAACAACAUACUAAAUUUAAUAAUUUAAUAUGGAACCACGUGAUUUAUCCCCACUUUAUAUAAUGUAUAAUAUACUUACUUAUUACUGAUGAAAUUUCCCCACUAGUGAUCAAAAUCUCUAGUCUUUCUUCACCUGAGCCCCCUUUGUAGCUGUUCCCUUUAUCUCCAAAGUAGCCACCUCUUCUUAUUCAGUUUGUAUAAUGAAGUAAUAUUAGGUUUAGCUAUUUAUUAAUUAGGUUUGCCCUAAUAAACUUCUAUUUGGGUUAAAUUAAUAUUAAGGCCCAAAUUUUAACCACAUAAUAUUAUCUAUCACUUAUUAAUAUUUAUUAGCCCACAUAAUUUAAAUAACUAGUUUGACCCAAAUAAAUGACAAGUUCCAAACAAUAUGUUUUAAGAAUAUAAAUUUAAUAUUAUUUUAUUAUUUUUUUCGGGAUAUUACAUUACCUCCCCCUUAAAAAGGAUUCCGUCCCCGGAAUCAAAAGAAUGAAAAAUACCUAAUUAUCAAAAAGAUGCAGAUACUCCGCUCGAAUAGACUCCUCUAUCUCCCAAGUAGCUUCCCGCUCCGAAUAAUUUUACCACAAGACUUUAACAAAAGGAAUUAUCUUCCUCAAAUUUUAAUUUAAUCAGUUAUUUAAUUAUCUACUAAAAGAAUUUAAUUUUCCAAACAAAACAAGGAAGAAAAGAAGGAAACAAAAUCAUUUACCUUUUCCCAUUUAAACACAAUUGUAUAAGAUAAAAUUAAUUAAUAUUUAAUUAUAUAAAAAAAAUAGGUUAUUACAUAGGUAGGCCUUAAGGGGAUCAAUGUAAUCUUCAAAACCUAAAGUGGCCAUUGCCCAUAGCAAAUCAUCGCCGUUGAUUGUCUUCCUCUUCUCUUUCUGACACUUAUCACUCGCCCUACACACCAAAACCCCCAAAUCAAAGAAGGCUUUUUUUUGAAGCAUAACCACCAAAGUUUCUUAUUUUGUAAC
rnacentral:lncRNA from 1 species